rnacentral:misc_RNA from 1 species
ACAAACCAAGUGGUUGUCUGAUAAUAAGGAAUAUCCAUCUUUAACCCUCUGGUUUCCAUCUUAUACAAAGGAAAAUGUUAUUACACAAGAAUGUGCACACAAGAUACAAUACAUAAAAAUUUUGAACUGUCGAAUAAGACAGACCCACACGUGAAUCCAUGUAGAUCCCACUGAUCCAAAGGUCCACAAUUUUCACGUACUGAAUUCGUACACUAACCAUAAGUACAGAAUAAUUGUGCUGACUAGCAUGCACUCUUACAGUAAUACAGAUGCUUUCAUUUCCUGCAAGAUCCUUUCUAACUUGAGCAUUCUCAGCUCCUCCAUACUCAUUUUAUGCAUGUUUCUUCAUCUCCACCAUAUAACCAUUUCUUAAAAGAUCCUUUUGGAAAGAAAUUUGGAAAAGAGCAUAUAAUUUCAAGAGCUAGUGUCUAAAUCUACAUUUCAAUUUUCAGACCAUUGACAAAUAGCUUUUUCGUAAAAGAAACAAUAGAUUUCAAGCAUACAGAAUCCAUGUAUGGUUAUUUCUACUUCAAUGAUCAAUCCAAAUAUGAAAAGUGAAAACAUAUCACCAAAAUAAAACAUCUUUCAAGGCAACAAUUAUAUUGUUAAAAAAAAAAAAUCCAACUCCAAGGAUGAGUUUUAGCACAAGCACCCUUGUGAUAAUUGCUUCAAAUUGCCAGGAGAGGCAGAGAACAUAUUCAUUAAAUCAAUGCCUUGCAGUAAACUGUCAUUUCUAAUUUCCUAAGGUAUUCUAAGAACACUAUCAGCAAUAUACACAGAUCUGCUGUUGAAAGAAAAUUGAUGGAAUCAAGGGUGGAACCUAUUGUUGGAUGUAUGUUCUUCAACCACAUCUCAAGUAGCAACCAGGGCAAGACCACCACAUGACAUAACCUUAUGUAUGACCUUUUGUACCCGUGGGUGACUGGACCCGAGUCAUAUAAGAGCCUGCAAGAAGUUCACUCACAGAUAAAGAGAAUUGGCAAACAUAAUACCUCGGCGCAAGCUUUCACUCGCUGCUGCAAAUUUUUUCUCCAAACUGACUUCCCCCACAGCUUGAGCAGCCGCACACAGCUGGUUCAAGAAUUCAUCUAGUCGUCUAGCACUCCUUAUGAUACUUCCCUCAAAGAUAUCAGUCAUUUGUAUAACGUCUGCAAAACUCGCCCCCUUUGACCAACAGUAAAUCACAUCCAUCAAGUAUGGUCUCACUGUUGAUUCCACGUACUCAUCCACAUUUAAGUCCAAUUUACAUUCAUAUUGAAUCUGCAAUCACAAAAAGGAAUUUCUGACAAUUCUUAUGCAUAACAUGAACAAGAAAUCAAGCAAAAGGAACAAACUUCUGCUAUUUUUCUUGCACUCUCUUGGAGUUGUUGUAAUGGCUUGGCAAGCUCUGAUCUCAAAUGUAUUUGUUCACUAGAUUUAUCUACAGGAAUGAAACAACUUGCAAGAGCUGCAACUUGGUGAUGAUCAAGGUCAUUGAAGGUACCUGAUGAAAAAAAAUUAAGACCCAAGUCAUUAUAGAAGACAAAACUAUCCUAACCAAGUUGGCCAAGUUGUAUGACCCAGCCUCUUCAAGAUAAUAUAGUGUUACCUCGUUCAAAUACAAUGUUUUAGGACAUUCAAUGUCCUUGAGCUUUUACAGCAGAUCAGGAAAUAUGUAUGAUUAACUCGUUCCUUUUCUAGCGCUACUUGGUACAUUUCCAGCUACUAGAUUCACACUUUAAAUUUCUUUUCAAGUGCAUUUAUUUUACUUAAUGAAAUUUAAAUAAAAACAAAUAGUGCUGGAUCAAAGCUCAAGCCAGCAGGCCCAGCACACAUUUUAUAAGCCCAAUCCCUGAUCAGAUCAACCUUGAACUUAUGCACUUAAGCAAACAGCAACCAGGCCAGACAAUCCUAGCCUGAAGUGAAACAAAACAAGAUUAUGCAGAGCAUCAAAUAAUCAUAAGAUAGUGGUCAUCAAUUCACCAUUGAACAUCAGUUCAGUAACAAGUAGUUCAUCUCCUGUGUCUAUCAAGCAGGCUGCCCUGCCCUUCAGCUGGACAACACCAUCAGCAUCUAUAUGGCCAAGCCUUUUCAAGACUCGUGAACGGUUUUUUAAUUCAUCACGAAACUUUUGGAGCUGAGAAUCCCGCAUUUUCGACUUGAGCUGUUGAAUUUCGUGAUUCACCUCAGCCUUCCUUUCAAAAUUUCUGAUCUGAUUCACAUCUUGAGACUUGUGCAGUGGAUGAGCACGUAACUUCCUUUCCAGUUCCUCAAUUUGGUUGACCAAAUCAACAAUUUCAGGAUCCUCAAUUUUCAUGUCCUUUACAGGAUUAAGUUUUGGAAGACCAUCAGGAAAUCGAGUUCCCAACUCCUGCACUGCCAGCAGUAUACUUUGUCUUGCUUCCAGCGGUCGGAGGUCAGAAGGGACAGAUAUUCUGACUUUACUUAAAGCAGAAAUCAGAGGCAACUGAACAGGGACCACAUGCAUCUCACCCUUUUCUCCAGGCUGCGGUGGACAAGGUCUUGGCCGUGAACCACUCUCACUAGAUCCAGGUGAGCAAUGAAGUAAAGUAUCCACUAUAUAACCAGCACCCCGUGAUGGCAACGUGCCUAACCCAGUAGCAGGUUUUUUAACAACAUUCACCACAACUCCCCAACCCCAAUCAGUUCCACCUUCUCUUACCUUGAUCAGUCGACCAGUGCAAAGAUAAUAAAGAACUCUUUCAGGCCUAGUUAUUUCUGCCAUCAUCUUCUUCUCGAGUUGAGCCAUCUCAAGUUUUAACUUGUGAUAUUCAGCCACUUCAGCCUCUCCUGAAGCAUCAAGCACAGCAGCCUCCUCCUCCAGUUUUGAAACCUUCUUCCCUAUACCAGGUAAAGCCUUCUCGUACUGAAAUUGGUGGAAUGAAUUUUUUAUCACAUGCUCAGCAGUGAACUGGCCUUCAGCACGCCUCAUUAAAUUUAAAAUUGAAUAGUAGCUCAGUCUGAAUGUACUAACUAGAGGAGCUGGUUUACCCAAAACCAUGUCCUUCAGUGUAUUCAUCUCCAUCCGUUCAUCAACCAUUAUUAUACAAAUACCGCGCUCAUCUUUGCCACGACGUCCAGCCCUUCCACUCAUCUGGAUAUACUCCCCAGAUCCAAUGUAGCGAUGGCUAUCACCAUCCCACUUCUUAACAGCUGUAAAAACAACAGUCUUUGCAGGCAUGUUUAAACCCAUGGCAAAUGUCUCUGUGGCAAAAAGGGCCUUUACAAGGCCUUCCUGGAAAAGAAGCUCUACAAGUUCCUUGAUGACAGGAAGAAGGCCAGAAUGAUGGACAGCAAUGCCUCGCUGAAGUAGCGGUAACAUUAACUCAAUAGCAGGCAAGUUUCUGUCUUCCUCAUUCAAGCAAAGAAUCGCAUUACUAAAUACUUGCUCCACAACAUCCUUUUCCUCUUGGGUAUUAAAAUCAAGUUUAGACAUAGACAUUGCAUGUUGUUCACACUCUCUUCUACUGAAGCUGAAAACUAUAACUGGUUGAAAUUUCCGUUCCAUGAUCAUCUUCACAAUCUUGUAUAUGUCAGAACCACCAGAAGCAUUCCCAGCUUUUGCAAUUCUUCCACCCCCUUUACCAUUUGAACUCUUGUUCCCAUCACCAACUUUCUGUUUCGUGAAGGUAUCUUGAAGUUUCAUAAAAUUGUCUUCCUUGAACUGCUCAUUCUCAUCAACCACAAGAUACAACCCAGCACCACCCAUGGGAAAAACAUAAUGCUGCAAAGGAGUUGGUCGAAAAUCUGUGUAUACAACGUGACAUGGCUGCUUGUGCAAAUGACAAAUCCACUCUGCAAAUUCUGUGGCAUUUGACAUUGUUGCAGAAAGGAAAACCAUCUUUAUUUCUGGUGGCAAAAAUAUAAUACUCUCUUCCCAGACAACACCUCUUUCACGAUCCUUCAUAUAAUGAAUUUCAUCAAAGAUGACCCAUGCAACUUCCUUCAAGAUCUCUGAUCCCCUAAAAAGCAUUCCCCUAAGAAUCUCUGUUGUCAUCACCAGACAACUGGCAUUAGGUGAGAGAGUUACAUCACCUGUCAUCAACCCAACAUCUUGAAACUCCUGAUGCAAUUCCCUAUACUUUUGGUUACUCAAAGCUUUUAACGGUGAUGUAUAUAUAACUCUCUGCUUAUCUCUAAAGGCCAUAGCAAUUGCAUACUCAGCCACUGCUGUCUUCCCUGCAGAUGUAUGAGCAGAAACAAGAACUGACUCAUUCCUUUCCAAACAUGCCACUGAUACUUUCUGAAACGGGUCAAGUUCAAACUUGUAGGUCUUCGCCAUCUCGCCAUUGAAUUCAGGAUUUGAGAGAGUCCCAUGAACUUUUUCAUCUUUGGUUGAUGUGUAACCACUAGGAACAGCAACCUCAUGCACACAAGUGCGUGUCAAAUUUCUACGCUUUAGGGCAGAUUCUUGGUGAGGGGUAUCUCCAACCUCAACUUCCUCAGGUGUUUUCCGUUUUCCUGGGAUUGGUGACUCCUCCAUUACUUGGCUUCAAGCUUAUGUUAACUCAAAUUUUUGCCUGCAUGGAGCGGCGACACGUUGCUUCAGUGAUUCGAGAAGGAUAAGCAGCGGCCACGCCUUGCUUCUAUGCAGCGACGAGGUUGAGCGGGCGGCGACGGGGACGGCAGUGAGUUGAAGAAAUUGGGAGAAAGAGAUAAGAGGGAGCUGAGGACGGGGGCCUGCCGUGAGCUUGAGAGAGGGAAUGACGGACGGCGGAACGAGAUAAGUCGGAGCCGC